UCAUGGAGCUGGAGUUUUGGUCUUGCAGAAAGAGCCAGAGCUGCUCCGGCUAGGAAUCCAGUCCAGUUUUUCCCCCCACUCUGCCUUGUGGUUAGAACUGGCUUAGGAGGAAGAGUGCUCUUUUUGCACUGUUCAUAGGUCAAAACAGCAUUUGGAUGUCAGAAUGUCACUCUAGGCCAAGUGAGGAUUUGUAAGUUCAUACAUACUUACGUUGGGAAUUUCUUAUGUAGAGGUUCUACUGUACUUCUCUUCCAAGCAGCUUUCGUUAUUGUCCAAUUUUCACAACUGUACACAGAAAUUAGGAACAUUGUGGCGUGGGUGAUUUUGACUAGUGUUUGAUAUAUAGAGCAGUUUUUAAAUAUAUAUACCUGGAGUUACACUGCUUGGACAUUACAUGAUGGAGAGAACAAAAGAAUGAAUAUAAAGUGACUUGAAUCCACUGAUAUUUUUCAGGAUGUACAGCAGCCCUGAUACCACCUGGGAAGAAAUUAAUGAGAGAGUGAGGAAUCUCCUAACCUCAGAUGAGGCCAGGCAGAGACUUUCUGUUGGAGCCACUGAUCUGGAAAUUGAUGAAGUCCUUGAAAGAAGGUCCAUCUCACUGAGGAGUUCUCCCCAGAACGAAUCAAUGGGCAAAAGAUACAACUCAUAGCUGUCCCCUGCAAGAACAAAUGCAGUAGCCUUGAGAUAUGUGUGAAGAUCCAUUGCUGGCAAGAUCAUCGUUCUGUCAAAAAUUGAUGGAUGUCUCAACUGUGCUGAAAAGUAGCCGCUGUAUUGUAUGCUUGUGCUGAUUAAAUUGUUGAUUUAUACAAUUUCAAAGAAGUGCAAACAUAUCAGUUCAGUUCAGGUUGGAGCCACGAGAGUUUUGAUGCCACGGUACAUACUCAGCUGUGAAAAGUAUUCCCCAUGAAGAAAAAAUGAGUUAUUUUACCAAUUAAAAUAAAUGGUGUGAUCAUGCUCCAUUUCAGUGUUUCCAAACUGUAGGGUAUAACCCAAUAAUCCAGGGAUGCUAUUUUGAAUUGACUAAAGAUAGAGGCAAAUUGAUUUUAAUCAUGUAGGUACUGGAGAGAUUCAUACCAAGCUGUACAACCUCUCUUUUGGGAUGCAUCUACACCAGGCAUGGGUAAACUUCGGCCCUCCAGGUGUUCUGGAGUUGAAGUCCAAAACACUUGGAGGGCCGAAGUUUGCCCAUGCCUGAUCCACUUUAACUACUGUUACUCAAUGCAAUGGAAUCAUGGGAAUUGUAGUUUUCUACAUAUUUUAGCCUUCUGUGCCAAAGAGUGCUGGUGCCUCACCAAAGUACAAAUUCAAGGAUUCCAUAGCAUUGAGCCAUGGCCAUUAAAGUGGAGUCAAAAACACUUAGAGCAGUGGUUCUCAACCUGUGGGUCCCCAGAUGUUUUGGUCUUCAAGUCCCAGAAAUCCUAACAGCUGGUAAACUGGCUGGGAUUGCUGGGAGUUGUAGGCCAAAACACCUGGGUACCCAUAGGCUGAGAACCACUGACCUAAAGCAAAGUGAAGGUGCAGUGAGGAUGCAAUGCUGUAUGUCCCUAGUUGUAAAACCUGAAUCAGAUCUGCAUCACAGUCAUGGUUCCAAUCAUAGAAUCUCAAAAUAGUAAUAGAAAUGAAGGCUUGGCUAGGUUUGCAGUAGAAGGUGUUUAAUACCUUUCCAGUCACCUUGCCAGCCUGGGGAAUUUGAAGAGAGAACUAGACAACCCAUCAAACCCCACCUUGCUCAUAAAUAAUGGCAAAUCAGUCAAGAAUAAGUCACAUGUAAUCAGUGAGCAGAUGAGGGAAAGUGGACGGAGAGUGGGGGAUAGUGUGGUCUAUAAAUACCAUCUUCACCUGACUAGAUUACCUACUAAGGAGCUGAAUCAUUUUGAGUGUGUGUAUCUGAGUCUGAAAACCAGGGAUAGACUAGGGGUUCUGUUGGUGUACCAUUCAGCCCACUGACUUCCUGGCCGAGCUCAUGGAACUGGUCUUGGAGAUGUUAUUGGAGCCACCAGACUUUUGUGUCUGGGUGAUUUCAGCAUACUACUGGAGGCCAAUCUGUUAGGUGCACCUCAGGAGUUCAUGAGAUCCAUGACAAAUAUGGGCCUAUCCCAAUUAGUUUCAAGACCAAUACAUUCAGAAGGUCAUACCCUUGAUGUGAUUUUCAGUUUGGAACAUACAAAUCUGUGGACGGAGGUGAUCAAUACCUCCAAGUCGACAUGGACAGAUCACUGUCUGGUCAUGGCUAGUAUCACAGCUACAACCUACCCCUGCAAGGGUGGAGGACCUAUUAAAAUGACCCAUCCUUGAAGGCUAAUGGAUCCUUUGAGAUUCCAACUAUACAGUCUCAGCUAAGGAUAGCAUGUCUCCUCUGAACAAAUCCCUACUUACUUAAUUACUUACUUACUUAUUUACUUAGGCGAUCUCUUGUAGCCAGAAGAUAAACAAAUGCCUAGAGGAGGUAAUGGGCUGGGUGAGGAAAAACAAAUUGAAAUUGAAUCCAGACAAAACAGAGGUGCUUGCCAUCAAGGGUCCUCAUCUGGGAAUGGAGGUGUAUCAACCAGUUCUGGGUGUGGUUACACUCUCCCUGAAAGACUGUUCACUGCUUGGGAGUGCACUUGGGCCCGUUUCUCCAAAUGUCAGCCCAGGUAGAUGUGAUGGUUAGGAGUGCUCUAUCCAAUAUAAUUUUCUGAAUCAGCUGCACCACUUGGAGGACCUAAAGGUGGUAGUGCAUGCACUGUAAUGUGCUUUAUGUAUCAAGUUCAGAAACUCCAGCUGCUUCAAAAUGUGGCAGCCAGAUUGGUUAUGGGAACAUCGAAAAAUGAGCAUAUUACACCUAUCCUAAAUUCAUUCCACUGGCUGUCAAUUAGUUUCUGGGCAAAGUACAAGACGUUGGUUUUGACCUUUAAAGCCCUACCUGGUUUGGGCCCAGGUUACCUAUAGGAUUGCCUUCUCCCAUACAAUCCACCCCAUACACUUAGGUCUUCUGUAGGACAGUUACUCCAUCCUGUCAGAACUCAGCUGGCAACCAUCACCCAGAGGACCUUUUCAUCGACCGCCUCAAGAGCUCUGACAACUAAAUUAGUUUGAAAACCAUCUAAAGACCUAUCUCUUCUGGCAGGCCUACCCAGCCAAUGUUAUGCAUUAAUUUUAAACUCAUGUCUUGUGUUUUAAUCUCUGUCUUGUGUAUUUUAUAGAAAUACAUUUUAAUAUGUAUUUUAUAGAACUAUAUUUUAAUAUAUGUAUUUAUAGAAUUUUUGCAAUGUUU